GUUUGUAUGGACAGGUGUUAUCUUCCCAUUUAGAGUAGUCAUGUUUUGUUUCCCCUUAUGUAUUCCUUUGUGCUGAACCUUCCACUUCAUUCUCCCUUGUUGCUGCGUCUCGAACUUGGACUUCCUGCCCUUCUUUUCCUCAUCCCACCCUUGUAUUCACAUUUGCAUCCUUCUUCUUCCGACAUUCCCCUUCAUUAUGCCCGUACUUUUUGCAGUGU
rnacentral:misc_RNA from 1 species